GGGGUAGUGGUUCAGUGGUAGAACGCUCACCUACUGUGUGAGAGGCCCUGGGUUCGAUCUUCCCCACCACAUAA
rnacentral:tRNA from 1 species